ACUUCCACCUGGCUUACCUCCUCAGUUAUGCGCCAAGGCUUGUAUCGCUUGGAGCGUAUUGUGGGUUUCUUGUGUUGUAUACCUAAUAUAUGGCAUCAUUUUGACUAAUUGAAGUCCUUUUUUUUUGUGUGUUGCAUUUGUGAUACAUGAUGAACCUUGAAGUGAUCUCUAUGAUCCAUCAUGUUGAUGCACAUGCAUUGAUCGUGUGGCCCGUUGAGUUUUUCCUGGUCUCUUGGAUACGGAACAUGUUGUGGCUUUAGGUUCUUUCAUUAUCCUUGUUUUGCCGUUGUUUUUUAUUCCCUAAAUGACAGUGCAUGCACGCCUAGGCUCGUACCUGCGUGAUGAUCUAUGUCGAUGUAGAAUGC
rnacentral:misc_RNA from 1 species